GAUGAACGCUGGCGGUAUGCUUAACACAUGCAAGUCGAACGGACUCUUCGGAGUUAGUGGCGGACGGGUGAGUAACGCGUGAGAAUCUGGCUUUGGGUUCGGGACAACCACUGGAAACGGUGGCUAAUACCGGAUGUGCCGAGAGGCAAAAGAGAAAUUGCCUGAAGAUGAGCUCGCGUCUGAUUAGCUAGUUGGUGAGGUAAAGGCUCACCAAGGCAGCGAUCAGUAGCUGGUCUGAGAGGAUGACCAGCCACACUGGGACUGAGACACGGCCCAGACUCCUACGGGAGGCAGCAGUGGGGAAUUUUCCGCAAUGGGCGAAAGCCUGACGAAGCAAUACCGCGUGAGAGAAGAAGGCUCUUGGGUUGUAAACCUCUUUUCUUAAGGAAGAACAAAAUGACGGUACCUAAGGAAUCAGCAUCGGCUAACUCCGUG
rnacentral:rRNA from 1 species